AUGGCAGAUGACAGCCAGUGCAGCGAGGGCCCAGAGGACCAGGGACCCAGGAUUAGGAGGCCAUGACAGCUUCCAAGGCAGUUGUCUUAGGGGCUGCAGUCCUGCUCAAGGCCAUGGCUGUGGCUGUGGUCAAGGCCACAGGCUAGUGGAGGUAAAGGAGUGGAUCGCUGGGCCGCCUGGUUAAGGACAUGAAGAUCAAGUCCUUGGAGGAGAUCUACCUGUUCUCCCUGCCCAUUAAGGAGUCUGAGAUUACUGACAUUUCCUGGGUGCAUCCCUAAAGGAUGAGGUUCUGAAAAUCAUGCCAGUGCAGAAGCAGACUCGGGCUGGCCAGCGGACCAGGUUCAAAGCUUUUGUCCCUAUUGGGGACUACAAUGGUCUUGUUGGUCUUGGUAUUAAGAACUCCAAGAAGGUUAACACUGCUAUCCGAGGGGACAUCAUCUUGGCCAAGCUUUCCAUCGUUCCUGUGUGGAGAGGCUACUGGGGGAACAAGAUUGGCAAGCCCCACACUGUUCCAUGAAAGGUGACAGGCCACUGUGACUCUGUGCUGAUGCAUCUCAUCUCUGCUCCCCAGAGGCACUGUCAUUGUCUCUGCUCCUUCUUGUGCCCAAGAAGCUCCUGAUGAUGGCCGGUAUAGAUGACUGCCACACUUCAGCCAGAGGCUGCGCUGCCACCCUGGGCAACUUUGCCAAGGCCACCUUUGAUGCCAUCUCCAAGACUUACCUGAUUCCCGACCUCUGGAAAGAGACUGUGUUCACCAAGUCUCCUUAUCAGGAACUCACUGAUCAUCUUGUGAAAACCCACACCAGAGUCUCUCUUCAGAGGACCCAGACUCCAGCUGUGGCUACCACAUAA
rnacentral:lncRNA from 1 species